rnacentral:rRNA from 1 species
GAUGAACGCUGGCGGCGUGCCUAAUACAUGCAAGUCGAGCGAACAGACGAGGAGCUUGCUCCUCUGACGUUAGCGGCGGACGGGUGAGUAACACGUGGAUAACCUACCUAUAAGACUGGGAUAACUUCGGGAAACCGGAGCUAAUACCGGAUAAUAUAUUGAACCGCAUGGUUCAAUAGUGAAAGACGGUUUUGCUGUCACUUAUAGAUGGAUCCGCGCCGCAUUAGCUAGUUGGUAAGGUAACGGCUUACCAAGGCAACGAUGCGUAGCCGACCUGAGAGGGUGAUCGGCCACACUGGAACUAAGACACGGUCCAGACUCCUACGGGAGGCAGCAGUAGGGAAUCUUCCGCAAUGGGCGAAAGCCUGACGGAGCAACGCCGCGUGAGUGAUGAAGGUCUUCGGAUCGUAAAACUCUGUUAUUAGGGAAGAACAAAUGUGUAAGUAACUAUGCACGUCUUGACGGUACCUAAUCAGAAAGCCACGGCUAACUACGU